AAGGAAGAAAAGAAGGAGAAGGAGAACAAGAGGAAAAGAGAAUAUUUAAAAUAGCUGUUUCUUGUGGAAACCAACUCAGAAGUUGACAGAAGAUUGUCAUGAACUCAGCAGCUUUGCUCAGCUGUGCUCCUCCUGUGCCUCGAUGUUUCUGCCUGGACGUCCGCAGGCCACGUACUGAAUCCCUCUGCAAUAUGAGCCACAUCUCCUCUCUAAAUUGUGUGCGUCAGAUAUGUUGUGCAGCAGUCAGAAAGCCGGUUAAUACCAAGAAGAAAUGGAAAGUGGAGACACAGACAACACAGCAUACAGAAGAGCCAGACUGAGCACAGGGAAGAUGAACAGAUUAAAGCUCGGCAUGAGAGGAAUGUUUUCCACCGUAUUACUUCUAUGUGAACUGAACAAGGCUAAUUACAGCACUGCAUUUGCUAAAGUUUAGAAAGAGUGCUUUUUAACUGCAUGUGAGAAUCACAGAGGCUCCUCCCGAGCACUCACAAUGAUUUGUUUUGAG